rfam:Atopobium minutum 10063974 genomic scaffold acnkJ-supercont1.1, whole genome shotgun sequence.
GAAGUGAGCUCGACGAUUGCGGGGGUGGCUCAAGCUGCCCAUGAGGAAAGUCCGGGCUCCACAGGGCAGGAUGCUGGCUAACGGCCAGGCGGGGUGACCCGACGGAAAGCGCCGCAGAAAAGAAGACUCCCACUGCUCACUUGCGUACAGGCAGGUGAGUAAGAGAAAAGCUGAAACGGUAGUGUAAGAGACUACCAGCGUCGUAGUAAUACGGCGGCUUGGCAAGCCCCAUCCGGAGCAAGCGCAAAUAGGAACGCUAUGAUGUUGCCCGCAGAGCGUUCGGGUUGCGUGCUAGAGGGCGUUGGUAACAACGUUCGUAGAUAAAUGAUCGUCCUCGACAGAACCCGGCUCAUAGGCUCACUUCGCUU